rfam:Gossypium hirsutum cultivar TM-1 chromosome 20, whole genome shotgun sequence
UAUUAAAAUUUCAUCUAUUUUUAUUAUUAAAAACUGACGUGAUCAACAAAAUAGCCAUAUAGUUACAUGUGGCGUGUCAUGUAUACCUCAUUUUGACAUACAAAAACCGGUUUUUAACUGUAAAAAUGAAUGAAAAUUUUAACA